rnacentral:rRNA from 1 species
CCUACGGGUGGCAGCAGUGGGGGAUAUUGCACAAUGGGGGGAACCCUGAUGCAGCGACGCCGCGUGGGGGAAGAAGCGCCUCGGCGCGUAAAGCCCUGUCAGCAGGGAAGAAAAUGACGGUACCUGAAGAAGAAGCCCCGGCUAACUACGUGCCAGCAGCCGCGGUAAUACGUAGGCGGCAAGCGUUAUCCGGAUUUACUGGGUGUAAAGGGGGCGCAGUCGGAGUUGCAAGCCAGGAGUGAAAUCCCGGGGCCCAACGCCGGGACUGCUCGUGGAACUGCGUGGCUAGAGGGCAGGAGGGGUAGGCGGAAUGCAUGGUGUAGCGGUGAAAUGCGUAGAGAUCAGGAGGAGCACCGGUGGCGAAGGCGGCCUGCUGGACUGCAACUGACGUUGAGGCCCGAAAGCGUGGGGAGCAAACAGGAUUAGAUACCCCAGUAGUC